UUGCAUCAUGCGAGACGUUAAAUGACUCAAUAUCAAACCCAGCAAUUGAUUGCGUUUCAUACGGAUUAAAAAUAAAUUUCUGAUC
rnacentral:snoRNA from 1 species